AAAAAGGGUGUUCGCUACUUCAAUAGCGCGAUUCCUGUCUGUUGACCGGCGGGGUAUGGCUAUCAAGACAUACCCAGCACGUAAUUUUUGUAAACGCGAGGUUGUUGGCUGCCAUGUAUAAGCACCGACACCUCC